AUUCAGCUGACGAGUCACAAAUAAAACGAAAUGCACAUCUUGGAU
rfam:Schistosoma rodhaini strain Burundi genome assembly, scaffold: SROB_scaffold0000012